rnacentral:rRNA from 1 species
AGUGAACGCUGGCGGUAGGCCUAACACAUGCAAGUCGAACGGCAGCACAGUAAGAGCUUGCUCUUACGGGUGGCGAGUGGCGGACGGGUGAGGGAUACAUCGGAAUCUACUUUUUCGUGGGGGAUAACGUAGGGAAACUUACGCUAAUACCGCAUACGACCUACGGGUGAAAGUAGGGGAUCUUCGGACCUUGCGCGAUUGAAUGAGCCGAUGUCGGAUUAGCUAGUUGGCGGGGUAAAGGCCCACCAAGGCGACGAUCCGUAGCUGGUCUGAGAGGAUGAUCAGCCACACUGGAACUGAGACACGGUCCAGACUCCUACGGGAGGCAGCAGUGGGGAAUAUUGGACAAUGGGCGCAAGCCUGAUCCAGCCAUACCGCGUGGGUGAAGAAGGCCUUCGGGUUGUAAAGCCCUUUUGUUGGGAAAGAAAAGCAGCAGGUUAAUACCCCGCUGUUCUGACGGUACCCACAGAAUAAGCACCGGCUAACUUCGUG